CCUACGGGAGGCAGCAGUGAGGAAUAUUGGUCAAUGGACGAGAGUCUGAACCAGCCAAGUAGCGUGAAGGAUGACUGCCCUAUGGGUUGUAAACUUCUUUUCUAUGGGAAUAAAAUGUUCCACGUGUGCGCUUUUGUAUGUACCCUAUAAAUAAGGAUCGGCUAACUCCGUGCCAGCAGUCGCGGUAAUACGGAGGAUCCGAGCGUUUUCCGGAUUUAUUGGGUUUAAAGGGAGCGUAGGUGGGUUGUUAAGUCAGGUGUGAAAGUUUGCGGCUCAACCGUAAAAUUGCAGUUGAAACUGGCAGUCUUGAGUACAGUAGAGGUGGGCGGAAUUCGUGGUGUAGCGGUGAAAUGCUUAGAUAUCACGAAGAACUCCGAUUGCGAAGGCAGCUCACUGGACUGCAACUGACACUGAGGCUCGAAAGUGUGGGUAUCAAACAGGAUUAGAUACCCCUGUAGUC
rnacentral:rRNA from 1 species